rnacentral:rRNA from 1 species
UAGGGAAUCUUCCACAAUGGACGAAAGUCUGAUGGAGCAACGCCGCGUGAGUGAAGAAGGUUUUCGGAUCGUAAAGCUCUGUUGUUGGUGAAGAAGGAUAGAGGCAGUAACUGGUCUUUAUUUGACGGUAAUCAACCAGAAAGUCACGGCUAACUACGUGCCAGCGGCCGCGGUAAUACGUAGGUGGCAAGCGUUGUCCGGAUUUAUUGGGCGUAAAGCGAGCGCAGGCGGAAUGAUAAGUCUGAUGUGAAAGCCCACGGCUCAACCGUGGAACUGCAUCGGAAACUGUCAUUCUUGAGUGCAGAAGAGGAGAGUGGAACUCCAUGUGUAGCGGUGGAAUGCGUAGAUAUAUGGAAGAACACCAGUGGCGAAGGCGGCUCUCUGGUCUGCAACUGACGCUGAGGCUCGAAAGCAUGGGUAGCGAACAGGAUUAGAUACCCUGGUAGUCCAUGCCGUAAACGAUGAGCGCUAGGUGUUGGGGACUUUCCGGUCCUCAGUGCCGCAGCAAACGCAUUAAGCGCUCCGCCUGGGGAGUACGACCGCAAGGUUGAAACUCAAAGUGAAUUGAC